GACGAACGCUGGCGGCGUGCUUAACACAUGCAAGUCGAACGGAAAGGCCCUGCUUUUGUGGGGUGCUCGAGUGGCGAACGGGUGAGUAACACGUGAGUAACCUGCCCUUGUCUUUGGGAUAACUUCAGGAAACUGGGGCUAAUACCGGAUAGGAGCUCCUGCUGCAUGGUGGGGGUUGGAAAGUUUCGGCGGUUGGGGAUGGACUCGCGGCUUAUCAGCUUGUUGGUGGGGUAGUGGCUUACCAAGGCUUUGACGGGUAGCCGGCCUGAGAGGGUGACCGGCCACAUGGGGACUGAGAUACGGCCCAGACUCCUACGGGAGGCAGCAGGCGGGAAUAUUGCACAAUGGGCGGAAGCCUGAUGCAGCAACGCCGCGUGCGGGAUGACGGCCUUCGGGUUGUAAACCGCUGUCGCCUGUGACGAAGCGUGAGUGACGGUAAUGGGUAAAGAAGCACCGGCUAACUACGUG
rnacentral:rRNA from 1 species